rnacentral:rRNA from 1 species
GAUGAACGCUAGCUACAGGCUUAACACAUGCAAGUCGAGGGGUAACGAGAGGAAAGCUUGCUUUCCUUGUCGACGACCGGCGCACGGGUGAGUAACGCGUAUCCAACCUGCCCCCAACUAGGGAAUAACCUUGCGAAAGUAAGACUAAUACCCUAUAAUUUCCUCAGAUGACAUCUGACGAGGAAUAAAGAUUUAUCGGUUGUGGAUGGGGAUGCGUCUGAUUAGCUUGUUGGCGGGGUAACGGCCCACCAAGGCAACGAUCAGUAGGGGUUCUGAGAGGAAGGUCCCCCACAUUGGAACUGAGACACGGUCCAAACUCCUACGGGAGGCAGCAGUGAGGAAUAUUGGUCAAUGGGCGGAAGCCUGAACCAGCCAAGUAGCGUGCAGGAUGACGGCCCUAUGGGUCGUAAACUGCUUUUAUACAGGAAUAAAGUUGGCCACGUGUGGUUAUUUGUAGGUACUGUAUGAAUAAGGACCGGCUAAUUCCGUGCCAGCCGCCGCAGUAA